rnacentral:rRNA from 1 species
GGAUGAGCCCGCGGCCUAUCAGCUUGUUGGUGAGGUUACGGCUCACCAAGGCGACGACGGGUAGCCGGCCUGAGAGGGUGACCGGCCACACUGGGACUGAGAUACGGCCCAGACUCCUACGGGAGGCAGCAGUGGGGAAUAUUGCACAAUGGGCGCAAGCCUGAUGCAGCGACGCCGCGUGGGGGAUGACGGCCUUCGGGUUGUAAACCUCUUUCAGUGGGGACGAAGCGCAAGUGACGGUACCUACAGAAGAAGGACCGGCCAACUACGUGACAGCAGCCGCGGCCG